CAUUUGGGUUUACAUGGAACAUUUGGGUUUACAGCUUUCCAAACUCUUCCAAGAGAAUGAUGGGGCUGCUCUGGGAAGGCUCUGAGCAGGAAUCACAGGCUCAGGCCUUGCCUACAGCAGGAGGUGGAGGGAGAUCUGAUAGAUCAUCUGAGAGAUUCAGAUAAGCACUAUCUCAACAACACACAGAUGCUAUUAGAGAUCACCUUGGCCACUGCUAAGCUGUGCAGCAUUCCUGCCAAGUGCAUCCCUGAGUUGGAAGCAUGUGGCAAGCAAGGCUGUGCCAGUGACACUGGGAGCUUGGAACAGUGGCUGCAGAGUUUCUGCUCGCUCUCCAGUGACUAAGGAGGAGAGGAAAACCCAGAGUGUAUGAGAAGACCAAGCCCAGGAACUGAGCAUCCACCAAGUGACCCCACGGUGGACAACAAGAAGCUUCAGUGACCCUGAAUGAAGCUGCUGACAUUUCUUUUGAGCACCAUUGCAGAGCAAAUCUACCAAGUCACCUCAGCCUUCUCUGGGGGAAUCUGAACCACUUGAAUUUCUACUCAAGCACAUGAUUUGCUUCUGAUUAGAGAUAUGGGUAGGAAAAAACAUAAAUAAAGCAAGCACAGCCC
rnacentral:lncRNA from 1 species